AGGAAGCCCAGAAAAUGAAUCGACCACUAUUAAUCAACCAAUUCAUAAUGGUUUAAUGAGAAGCACAGCAAAUGUUCAUUUCAAUGCUAAGGAAUGUCCUGUCACCAGGCGUGUAUAUUUGAUAAAGUUUAUCAAUUUAUCAACAAUGAAGUGAAACAGCCCUUUCGCCAGA